CGCGACCCCAGGUCAGGCGGGACCACCCGCUGAGU
rnacentral:rRNA from 1 species